CCCUUAGAUGUUCGGGGCCGCACGCGCGCUACACUGAAGGAAUCAGCACGUCUUUCUCCUUGUCCGAAAGGACUGGGUAACCCGCUGAACCCCCUUUGCGCUAGGGAUUGGGGCUUGUAAUUCUUCCCCAUGAACGAGGAAUUCCCAGUAAGCGCGAGUCAUAAGCUCGCGUUGAUUACGUCCCUGCCCUUUGUACACACCGCCCGUCGCUACUACCGAUUGGAUGGUUUAGUGAGAUCCUCGGAUUGGUCCCGGCGCGGCCUCUGGUCGUGCCGGAGUGCCGAAAAGAAUGUCGAACUUGAUCAUCUAGAGGAAGUAAAAGUCGUAACA
rnacentral:rRNA from 1 species